UGACCGUAUAAAAAGAUAGAAAUAACCAAAUCCCAAUUUCAGAAGUAAUAAACCACACUGACAUGAUAUUAUAGCAGUUUUUCAAAUCUACCCACAAGUAUUUGCAAAUAUUUACAUUCAGCCUGAACGCAAUUACAAUAGUGUAACAAAGAUAAAUAAUAAAAAAAUCGUCUAUAACAAAACAGGUUCAACUAGUUUCAAAAGUAACAUAGCAUUCUUGGUUUGUUUGCUUCUUAUUUUACUAAAAAAAAGGCAAAGACUCGAGGAGCCACUCAUCGUCUGAGUCCGCCUGCAAGCCUCUCAAUAUUUAAAGACAGAUUUCUUGCAACGUGGCCCAGGAUCCAGGAUCAGUCAUGAUGAGCGCUGUGAACAUGACCUGACCUGUACGCUGCUGCCUUUAUUGGAGUUGAAACCUCAUCACCUGGACUGGAUCCAGCUGCAAACUCAGAGGUGGAAGUGUAUGUGUUUGUUAUGGAUCUGCUGUUUUCAGGUUUUGAGUUGGUCUUCAUCAUCAUUGCAUUUACUAUCAUGUGCUUAUUUGGCCUGGCUGCUAUCUGCACACACAAUACAGAUCAUCAAGAUGACUACAUUCAAACAGAACAGAAGAUGAUGCGACAAAAGAACACCUCAAAGAAAAAACAGAGAGUCAUCACCAAAACCAAUCAAGAGCUUCCAUGAACACAAACAAACACAAAUACAGAAUCCUUCCACUGGUGCUCAACGGAUAGAUAGGACUGGCUCACCAAAUGCAGAUAACCAGCGGACAAACGGAAGAUCUCUGACACUGCUGUCGACUUCAUAUAUCCUUAGAGCCUCAAGGCCAGCUGAUUGGCUUGAAUGUAUGACCCCAAUAAGUAAUUAAACAGUAAAGAAAGAUAAAGACGAUUUAUUGAAAUCAAAUCCCCUCCACUUUCUUUACCUAGAUCUGCUUAUCACUUGUAAUACAAUGAUUUAAACCCUGUCUGGAGGAGCCUUCUUUUUUUUCACGCAGCUUAUGCUUUGCUGGGCAAAAUGCGGUAACACUUAAUUUCUGUUAUCCACUUUAAACAUUCUACUAAUAGUAAGUAACUUUGCAACUACAUGUCAACUAGCAGUUAGUAGAGUAUACUAAACCCUAAACCUACUCUAACAGUCUACUCAUGUAGUUGCAAAUUAAUGAGAAUUAGUCGACAUGUAGUUACAAAGUUAUUAACUGUUAGUAGAAUGUUUAAAGUGGACUAUCGAAAUAAAGUGUAACCCAAACGGCUUCAAAAAGUCUCAUGGUGGUGGUAGCCUUUGGCAAGAAAAACUGCAAAAUAUGUUAAUGAAUGUAUAUUGUGAAGACAUUUUUAGAUUUAUACAAAAUAUAUUUAUGUGAUAUAAUGUCCUAAAGUUUAUAUAAUGCAUUGUUGUUGUAUUUUAUUUAUUUAUCCAUAUACAUGUGGCAUUUUUGUAUUUAAAAAUUAAAAUAUAUGAAUAUUG
rnacentral:lncRNA from 1 species